UCGUAAAAUAACAUGGAAAUAAAGAGGAAGUAAAGGCGGGCGCUAAUAAAUACAUCAGUGUUAUUAUUUGUUCGCUAUUUUGUAAAUACUUAUGUCGUACAAGAGGCAUAUUUAUUUAUUUCAGGGUAGAACGUCUCGGUCUGCAAGAAUCUUUGCGUUGCUUAGUUAGUCAGUACUGUGAAGCUGAGAAGCGACUCGUGCUAGUUAGCUUAGCUUGUUAGCUGCUAACAAAGAGACGCGGACGUUAUCAACACAUCGCUAAGUAGAGAUCAAAUGUGAGUGUAAAGUGUUGUGAUUGUGUGAAAAUGUGUGAAAGAACGAUAGCAGAGUACGAGGAGGAACUUUCUAGAACAAAAGAGGAGAACAAUCAACUACUGGGCGCUGUUUUCGAGAAACAUCAAGUUGUGUUACACAGAAACGACAUCCAGCAGCCCCCUCACAUUAAAAAGGAAGAGGAGGAAGUGUGGAUCACUCAGGAGGAAGAGUGUCUUCUAGGGCAGGAGGAGGCUGAUCUCAGCAAGUUUCCACUGACUGUUGUCUCUGUGAAGACUGAAGAGCAUGAAGACAAACCACCUGAGUCCUCACAGCUUCAUCACAGUCCAAACGUCCGUGAAGAAAAUCUUCUCUCUGAGCAACAGGAGUGGAGCUUCAGGAUGGUGAAGGAGGAACCACAGCCCUCUUACUUGAAAGAGGAAGACAAGAACCCACUCCCCAACCACACAAAAGACGAAGAGACCCUACACUUUAUAAAGAAAGUGAAGGAUCCACUGACCCCCACCAUUAAAUGGAACAAGGAUGAACCACUGACCCCCCACUUUAAAGAGGAAGAGGAGGCGCCACAGACCUACCACAUUAAAGAAGAGGAGGUGGAAUACAACAUCAGUCAGGAGGGAGAGCAUAUUGAAAGGGUGGCGGAGUUCCCAGUGACUGGUGUCCCUGUGACGAGUGAAGGUGAUGAGGUCAAAGGUUUCUUGUGUGUAUGACUUAUUCUGAGGGAGAACAGCACAAUUUCACGUAUGGCAUCUACCAUUAAGGAUUGCAGGAAUGACUUUUAGGAUGUUUUUAUAUGAAUAAGGUGAAUUGGAUGUUGGCCUGGGAAGGCAUUCCCCUGAAGGUCUUCUUUAUGUGUCAGCUGGAAGUACCCUGACUGCUGUGAGGGGGAAACUGAUGAGAUUAUGUCGAAGAAGAACAUCUUUCUUGUGAGCAGGAAGAGGAGCCACAGCCCCACCACAUUAAAGAGGAACAUGAGACGCCACAGACCCGUAAUGUGAAACUGACCCUUCACAUUAAAGGGCAAGCGGAGGACCCACUGAACUUACACAUCAAAAAUGAAGAGGAGGACCCACUGACCCCCUACUAUAAAGAGGAAGAGGAGGACCAAGAGUUGCCGCACAUUAAAGAGGAAGAGGAGGAACACCGCAUCAGUCAGCCUAAAUGUUUGGAGGAGUUCCCAGUGACUGGUGUCCCUGUGAAGAGUGAAUAUGAUGAGGUCAAAGGUGAAAGUGAGGAGAAGAGAGAGGAGGUGCCUCCAAGCAGCAGCUCAACACAACACAUGACAACAGAAGCUGAUGGAGACCUCUGUGGAGGAUCACAAGCAGACAAGCUCUUAGCUCCACUAUCAGAUAGUGAGGACACAACGUCACACUCUCCUGACACUGAUGAUGAAGACUCUAAAGAUGAUAAGACAUGUCACACUGACAACACUCACUUCAAAUGUUCUCUCUGUGACAAAACUUUUAAUGACCAUAGUAAUCUGAAAACACAUAUGAGAAUACACACUGGAGAAAAAGCAUUUAUCUGCUCAGUAUGUGGUAAAAGUUGUGGACUAAGUCAGAAUUUGAAAGUACACAUGAGAAUACAUACCGGAGAAAAACCUUAUGUCUGUUCAAUCUGUAGUAAAAGUUUUGUACAAAGAAACCAUUUGGAAGUACACAAGAGAACGCACACUGGUGAAAAAACGUUUUCCUGUUCAAUCUGUGGAAAAAGCUUUAGAGAAAGUCACAAUUUGAAAAGACACAUGAGAACACACACUGGUGAAAAAUCACAUUCCUGUUCAAUCUGCAACAGAAGCUUUUGUCAACGACCAAACCUUGUAGCACACAUGAGAACACACACAGGAGAGAAAGUGUUGAGUUGCAGUGUGUGUGGUGAAAGAUUCUCUUAUAAGUACCAGUGUAAGAAACACAAGUGUGCUGGUGAGAACAGCAGCAGCAAAUGAAACUGCAGGAUUUGAAAUAAACUGUCAAGACUUUAAUUUUGACUUUCUAACAACAUCAGCACGUAUAACAUAUGUGACAUUGUUGUUUGUGUAACAAUCUUUUAAUAUGCUUCUACAUUUAUAGAUUAGAUAUUUUAUAUCAGUGCUUUUUUCAGUCAAAUACAUGCAUUAUAUUAUGCAA